CGGGUGCGUGAUACCACGUGAUCGGUAUACGUUUACCUUCGUCGUUUCGUAUUUUCCUGGAGGAGGCUUCGAGCGUGUCGUGAAAUUUUAAAAGCUUAAACAGACCCAAAUAUGGCAGAGGCUGACCGACCAGGGAAGCUCUUCAUCGGUGGCCUGGACACUGAAACUAACGAGAAGGCCCUUGAGAAGUACUUCAGCAAAUAUGGCAGAAUAGUAGAAGUUUUGUUGAUGAAAGACCGUGAAACGAACAAAUCCAGAGGUUUUGCUUUUGUGACCUUUGAGAGUCCGGCAGAUGCAAAGGAUGCUGCCCGUGAAAUGAAUGGGAAGUCACUUGAUGGUAAGCCAAUAAAGGUUGAACAAGCAACAAAACCUCAGUUUGAGUCAGCGGGCAGACGCGGCCCACCCCCCAUGCGUGGCCGCGGCCCCCCUAGAGGUCCUAGAGGAUCUAGAGGAGCACCAAUGAGGGGUCCACCAUCCAGAGACUACUAUGAUAACGUAGGGAUUGUAGAACCCUUUUUCAAAGGGAUUUCGUCCAGAGGCCCUCCACCACUGAAAAGGGGACCUCCGAUUCGUAAUGGAGGCCCCCCACCCAAGAGACAUGCUCCUUCUCCAAUGGGCAGACCUUCCAUGUCUAGGGACAGGGACCCCUAUGGCCCACCCCCUCCCCGCAGGGACUCAAUGUCCAGAAGGGAUGAUUACCCAUCACCAAGAGAUGAAUAUUACAGCACAAAGGACAGCUAUUCUAGCCGGGAAUAUGUGAGUUCCAGGGAUACACGGGACUACGCACCAACGCCACGGGACUAUCCGCCAAGGGAUUAUCCCCAAUCCAGUUCCCGUGAUGAAUAUGGGUCAAUGUCAAGGGGCUACAGUGAUGGUUAUGGUGGAGGCCGGGAACCCAAAAGCUAUAUGGAGCGCCCUAGUGCAGCCUCUUAUCGAGAGCCCUACGAUGGUUAUGGUAAGAUUGACCACUUAAGUGUAAUGGCAACAAGUUGCUCUAGUCUCGCAACCUGCUCAAUGUGGCCCUGGGAUUUGGUGACCAUAUACGCAUCACGAGUCCAUGGAAACGCCCAACAAAGCUUCUUGACCAAUCGUUGUUCGUUCAACAAAGUGUCGCAAAGUAAUCCCUCAAGGAGUCAUGCACACAAGUCUGUUUUUGGGGGGUAAAACGACCCUCACAAAACCACCAAGACCUCACUGAAAAAAAACGUGUGACCAAUGUGCAACUCGAACAACUGGAAUUCCAAAAGGAAAAAAACAGCUACUCAACAAAACAUGGCAUGCUGAAAGGGGUUUCAUUGCGUAUUUUAUGUUCUGCCAAGCUUGGAUAAAUUAUCUGCCAAAGCACCUAAAUGUUCAGUGUAAAUUUUUGUUCAGAUCCCUAGCAUAUUGGAGAUUUAAACGUGUAGUUGCUUUUGAUUGUCAUUAAGAAAUACUCACGGAAAAGAUUGGCUCAUAACAAUUCAGCAAAGUGUGUGAAGUGAAACUUGCCAAUUACCUGACCCAUUGACCCUGCAGGUAACUCACGCAGCGCCCCACCCUCAAGGGGCCCCCAACCAUCCUACAAUGGCAGUGGCGGAAGCAGUCGCUAUGACGACUAUGGAAGCAGUUCCCGGGAUGGCUAUGGCAGUCGUGAAAGUUACCCCAGCAGUCGGAGUGAACCAUACCCUCCUAGCCGUGGUGAGCGAAUGGGCAAGCAGGAGCGGGGGCCAGCACCCCCAAUCGAGAGAGGCUAUCCCCGUGAAGCGUACAGUGGCUCAAGUCGCGGGGCGCCCCGUGGUGGCCGCGGAGGCAGCAGAGUCGAUAGAGGAAUUGCCCGCAGCAGAUACUGAGAUGGAUAUGACAUCAGAGCGAUCGUUACGCAAUGCCUGCUCAUUCACUACUUGUAUAGUGAGGGGGAAAAACUAGGGAUGUCAAAUUCCAUGGACAAGCUUAGGUUUUGAGCUGUUUAUCCUCAGCCUGUCAAUUUCUUUUUGUUUUAAGUGUUAAAAUUACUUGUUUUAUAUUUCCCCGGCCCAUGUGAUACCAUUGCCAAGUGAUGAGUGUUUAUUUUUUGUACAUUUAGUGCUGUUAUGUCCUGCUAUAGUCUUGGAUAUGGCUUUCAUACACUAAUAAAGUUUUUAACCAAAGAACUUUCGCACCGCUAAUGGAUGUUCAGAAAGAGACCAGAAACUGACAUGAAUGUACACCCAUAUCCCAGUGCACAUCUACAAGUUCUGUCCACUAGAGAUCAGUUGAGAUGCAGUUAACUGAAGCUUGUAGAUGACACUUAACAGUCCUGUACUUUCAGUCAACCAACCGGUUGUCUGAGGACAAAGCAAAUGUCACUUUCCAAACUCUUCAUCGGUGUAGUUUUCUCUGGAUAUGGCUCCUUCACCAUAGAGCCAAACAAUGGUGGCUUGCAACGACCUAACCAAAGAAAGACCCCAACAACCAAACGCAAGAGUCUUUUCAACACGACUGAUAGUGUCAACAGCUGGUAAGCAAAGCAAACCUUUUGUUUCUCGUCUGUGAAAUUAAUUUCAUGCCCGUAAAUUAGUCUGCUCAAAUGGUUGGUGUGCGAGCCACUGGGUGCACCAGGAAAUGAAAUUAAACAAUGGCGUUCAAUUUAAAUUGUCAUAUUUCGUCAACCAAAUUGAUAUCAGCAACAUAAGGAGUUAUUUUUCGCUUGAUAACAUGACUUUUCCACUAAACCUAGGUUAUGGGUCAACAGGUAACUUGUCAACAAUGUACAGAAUCACGAUCACCUUUGCCGGAUAUUUUUUUUUUCAACUUAAGUAUGGCAAAUUAGUUUAUUUUACUAAGGUGCAAUAUUCAUAAGGUGUCUUUGUUUUUGUGUACCAUGGAUUUAAUUUUCUUUUUUUAGUAAGUGGUGUAGUAAAAGCUAAUCUUGUCACAAGCAUGCCAACUUCCAAAUGGAGACAACUCGGAUGACCAGCCAUGUCCUAACAACCAAACUGGGAAGUGAAUGGGAGCGAGAAAAUCACAUCGGACCAUUGACUUAUUUUCAAGGGAAACUGGCGGGUUGGGUUAUCAACUUUCUGUAGUACAAAAUCAAAGAAAUUGCAGGACAUUAAUUUAUAUUUUCUGGUUUCAGGGUGAGCUCUAAUGGAGCAAUCUUAUGGAACUAUUGCUGAUUCAAGCCUUCCUGUUGGUUGAUGUUGGACCGUCGCACAGAGAACCGAACAGGUACCUGUGCUGGCACCGCUCCCGAUUACAACUAAUAGUGGCAGGCGCCUGCAUGGAAACAACCAACAUCAUUGGACACAAACCAGGCAGAGAAAUGAGACUCAAAAGGAAGGUCAUUCUAAUGCCUGGUCUCAAAAAAAAUUACCUUCGAACAUCAAAUUAUACUGUUCCCAAAAGCACAACCAUUCAUUGCUGGAUUUAAGCAACUUCUUUAAGAUGGUACACUAGAAUUGGAAUGCAGAUUCUGUUUGGUGUGCUGAGCCACAUUUGUGAUAGGCAUCUCUUACAGAAAUCUAGAUUAUCGAAUAUUUCCUUGCCAGAUAUGGUGGAGCCCAUCAGAUAACACAAUUGUCUGUUUCCUGAUAUUGCAGUGGAAUUGGAAGCACACACACAACCAUUGCUUAGAAUUCUCCAGUGUCUCCCAGUUGUGGACAGAAGAACAGUUAUUACAAAGAAUCAAAAUCCCAAUUAACCCCUGUGUAUUGUUUUUGUUUUUCACCCAAUGUCCGUGGGUCUGAUGGACUCACAACAUUAUUGGGUCAAAACAAUACAGCCAUAACAACAUACUUAGAUGUUGAAUCAAUUACACGUCAUAUAGACAGCAUACAUGGUUAAUCACAUUUAUCAAUAAAACCGCUAUUUGUUUUCUGUGAUUUUUUUGCAAACCAAAAAUCUAUAACCAAGACAUUGGUGAAAUAAAUCAUGUUUAUCUUGAACAAA